rnacentral:lncRNA from 1 species
AGGUGUGUGACACCUGGGACAGGUGUAGAGGCCACACCCUUUCUCUGGCCCCGCCCCCAGGUUGGCAGAGGAGCUGCAGCAGCUGCAGAGCCCCAUGGGGGCAGGGCCGGAGUGACCGGGCUGAGCUGGACACGCCCCACGGGACACCUGGGGCACCUGUGGGACACCUCUGCCUGUUACCUGUGGUACCUGUUACCUGUGGUACCUGUUACCUGUUACCUGUGAUACCUGUGUUACCUGUGUCACCUGUUACCUGUGUCACCUGUUACCUGUUACCUGUGUCGCCUGUUACCUGUUACCUGUGUCACCUGUUACCUGUUACCUGUGGUACCUGUUACCUGUGGUACCUGUUACCUGUUACCUGUGAUACCUGUGGUACCUGUUACCUGUGGUACCUGUGUUACCUGUGGUACCUGUGUUACCUGUGUUACCUGUUACCUGUGUCACCUGUUACCUGUUACCUGUGGUACCUGUGUUACCUGUGGUACCUGUGUUACCUGUGUUACCUGUUACCUGUGGUACCUGUUACCUGUGUCACCUGUUACCUGUGUCACCUGUUACCUGUGUUACCUGUUACCUGUGGUACCUGUGGUACCUGUUACCUGUUACCUGUGUUACCUGUUACCUGUGUCACCUGUUACCUGUGUUACCUGUGUUACCUGUGUCACCUGUUACCUGUGUU